rnacentral:rRNA from 1 species
GCUCGUCUCCGAGACUAAGCCAUGCAAGUCCAAGUACACGUCCUUGAACGACGGAAACUGCGAACGGCUCAUUAAAUCAGUUGCGAUCUACUCGGCGUUCCGCGCCGCCGGAUAACCGUAGUAAUUCUAGGGCUAAUACGUGCGAAGCGCCCGAAGCCGCGAGGCGACGGGCGUUCUCGCCGGAUGUAGGAACCGACCCCGGGGACCGCCCGGGGGCAACCCCGGCGCCCCCCGAGACGGGGCGAACCACGGUGAAAUGACGGAUCGUCGGCCCCGCGCCGGCGACUCGCCGAAUGAGUUUCUGACCUAUCAACUCGAGACGGCGGGGUAGAGGCCCGCCGCGGUAACGACGGGUAACGGGGAAUCAGGGUUCGAUUCCGGAGAGGGAGCCCGAGAAACGGCUACCACUUCCAAGGAAGGCAGCAGGCGC